rnacentral:rRNA from 1 species
AAAGGAAUUGACGGGACCCGCACAAGCGGUGGAUGAUGUGGAUUAAUUCGAUGCAACGCGAAAAACCUUACCUACCCUUGACAUGUCUGGAAUGCCGAAGAGAUUUGGCAGUGCUCGCAAGAGAACCGGAACACAGGUGCUGCAUGGCUGUCGUCAGCUCGUGUCGUGAGAUGUUGGGUUAAGUCCCGCAACGAGCGCAACCCUUGUCAUUAGUUGCUACGAAAGGGCACUCUAAUGAGACUGCCGGUGACAAACCGGAGGAAGGUGGGGAUGACGUCAAGUCCUCAUGGCCCUUAUGGGUAGGGCUUCACACGUCAUACAAUGGUCGGGACAGAGGGUCGCCAACCCGCGAGGGGGAGCCAAUCCCAGAAACCCGAUCGUAGUCCGGAUCGCAGUCUGCAACUCGACUGCGUGAAGUCGGAAUCGCUAGUAAUCGCGGAUCAGCAUGUCGCGGUGAAUACGUUCCCGGGUCUU